UGGGGAAUAUUGGACAAUGGGGGCAACCCUGAUCCAGCAAUGCCGCGUGUGUGAAGAAGGCCUGCGGGUUGUAAAGCACUUUCAGUAGAGAAGAAAAGCCUAAGGCUAAUAACCUUGAGUCUUGACGUAACCUACAGAAGAAGCACCGGCUAACUCCGUGCCAGCAGCCGCGGUAAUACGGAGGGUGCAAGCGUUAAUCGGAAUUACUGGGCGUAAAGCGCGCGUAGGUGGUUUUGUAAGUCGGAUGUGAAAGCCCUGGGCUCAACCUGGGAAUUGCAUUCGAUACUGCUUAACUAGAGUAUGGUAGAGGGAAGUGGAAUUUCCGGUGUAGCGGUGAAAUGCGUAGAUAUCGGAAGGAACACCAGUGGCGAAGGCGACUUCCUGGGCCAAUACUGACACUGAGGUGCGAAAGCGUGGGUAGCAA
rnacentral:rRNA from 1 species